rnacentral:rRNA from 1 species
CCUACGGGAGGCAGCAGUGAGGAAUAUUGGUCAAUGGACGAGAGUCUGAACCAGCCAAGUAGCGUGAAGGAUGACUGCCCUAUGGGUUGUAAACUUCUUUUAUAAAGGAAUAAAACGAGGCACGUGUGCCUUUUUGCAUGUACUUUAUGAAUAAGAAUAGGCUAACUCCGUGCCAGCAGCCGCGGGAAUACGGAGGGUCCGAGCGUUAUCCGGAUUUAUUGGGUUUAACGGGCACGUAGAUGGGUUGUUAAGUCAGUUGUGAAAGUUUGCGGCUAAACCGUAAAAUUGCAAUUGAUACUGGCAGGCUUGAGUACAGUUGAGGUAAGCGGAAUUCGAGGUGUAGCGGUGAAAUGCGUAGAUAUCACGAAGAACCCCGAUUGCGAAGGCAGCUUACUAAACUGUGACUGACAUUGAUGCUCGAAAGUGUGGGUAUCAAACAGGAUUAGAUACCCGAGUAGUC